rnacentral:tRNA from 1 species
ACUUGGCUGGCUCAGUUGGUAGAGCAUGAGAGUCUUGGUCUCAGGGUUGUAAGUUCGAGCCCCAUGUUGGGUG